ensembl:snoRNA
UGGAUCGAUGAUGACCACUGGUGGCGUAUGAGCCUUAUGCGAUGAAUACCUGUCUGGAGGAACUCUGAGGUCCAA